GACAUACACCGGAAGCGCCGUGAAAGCGGCGUGCCGCUUGCGGCCGGUGAACAGGUGCUGCAUGGCUGUCGUCAGCUCGUGCUGUGAAGUGUUCGGGUUAAGUCCCGCAACGAGCGCAACCCCCUGCCGUCUGUUGCCACCACGAAAGGUGGGGACUCAGGCGGGACCGCCGGUGACAAACCGAGGAAGGUGGGGACGACGUCAAGUCAUCAUGGCCCUUAUGUCCUGGGCCACACACGUGCUACAAUGGCCGGUACAGAGCGCAGCGAGGCCGCGAGGCGGAGCGAAUCGCUUAAAGCCGGUCCCAGUACGGAUUGGAGUCUGCAACCCGACUCCAUGAAGUUGGAAUCGCUAGUAAUCGCGCAUCAGCAUGGCGCGGUGAAUACGUUCCCGGGCCUU
rnacentral:rRNA from 1 species